rnacentral:tRNA from 1 species
GGAGAGUUGGCAGAGCUGGUCUAAUGCGCUCGACUGCUAAUCGAGAGUCUCAUUUGAGGCGCGGGGGUUCGAAUCCCCCACUCUCCGCCA